rnacentral:siRNA from 1 species
AGCACCAAUUGCUGUCAUUGUGA